rnacentral:rRNA from 1 species
GAUGAACGCUGGCGGCGUGCCUAAUACAUGCAAGUCGAGCGAACAGACGAGGAGCUUGCUCCUCUGACGUUAGCGGCGGACGGGUGAGUAACACGUGGAUAACCUACCUAUAAGACUGGGAUAACUUCGGGAAACAGGAGCUAAUACCGGAUAAUAUAUUGAACCGCAUGGUUCAAUAGUGAAAGACGGUUUUGCUGUCACUUAUAGAUGUAUCCGCGCCGCAUUCGCUAGUUGGUAAGGUAACGGCUUACCAAGGCGACGAUGCGUAGGCGACCUGAGAGGGUGAUCGGCCACACUGGAACUGAGACACGGUCCAGACUCCUACGGUAGGCCGCAGUAGGGAAUCUUCCGCAAUGGGCGAGAGCCUGACGGAGCAACGCCGCGUGAGUUAUGAAGGUCUUCGGAUCGUAAAACUCUGUUAUUAGGGAAGAACAAAUGUGUAAGUAACUAUGCACGUCUUGACGGUACCUAAUCAGAAAGCCACGGCUAACUACGUG